UACGGGGGGGGCAAGCGUUGUUCGGAAUUACUGGGCGUAAAGGGCUCGUAGGCGGCCAACUAAGUCAGACGUGAAAUCCCUCGGCUUAACCGGGGAACUGCGUCUGAUACUGGAUGGCUUGAAUCCGGGAGAGGGAUGCGGAAUUCCAGGUGUAGCGGUGAAAUGCGUAGAUAUCGGGAGGAACACCAGUGGCGAAGGCGACUUCCUGGCCUGUUCUUGACGCUGAGGCGCGAAAGCUAGGGGAGCAAACGGGG
rnacentral:rRNA from 1 species